ACAACAAAAAUAAUUGUUUGAGGUUAGGAAAUCACUCUCGGGCUUAUAGGGUCGAAGUGGUUGUCGCUCGGGUGGUCAAGGACUCAUGUAGUCGGUCUCGUUUUAGUAUAUAGUUAGUCGAUUUUAUGCCCCAGCCGACUUUUUCGAUACAAAUGCGGCCACAAAUUCUCCGACAUCCAAAAAGUGCUCAGCAACAACCCUAUUUAGCCAUACAUUUUGUUACCAUUAAGGUGGCCAUAUGCUCUUAGGUUUGCACUAUAUCCACCACUUUUCGUUAAAAUCUUCAACCACUUGUCCUCAUAUACCCUUAUACCGCAAUUUCGACCACAGGCUUUUUAAAAAAAAAAUUAAGUUUGACUGCUGUUCUGUUAUUAGGAUUUUGAAUUAUAAGAAAUAGAAACGAAUGCAUUGCUGUGUACAUUACUGUUUAAAAAUCAUGGCAACACAUAACAAAAAUAUGUAAAUAAAAAUUUUAAGGCUUGAUUCUUUGCUUUAAAUUGUGCUACCUACGUCACGACAAUGACGAUUAAUGCAAACAAUACACAAUUACAUAAAUCUAAUUCCCCUUUAAUGGGUUAGAAACGAUUAUCUGUACGAAUAAAAUCGGUUCAAAAAUAAAAUAUAAGGUGAAAAGUCUAAUACAUGAAAUUAUUUAUUGUAAAUAAAAUUUUACUUGAGGAAAACUAAAAGUAAAAAAAUAUUUCAUUCAUGUAGAAUCAGUUUUUUCAUAAAAAUAUAAUAAUAUAUCAUAUUGAUUGAAGGGGCGGUAAGCUAUUUUAAAAGAAUUAAAAGAAUAGAAACAACUGAAGUUUCCUUGAUUUAGCAACAGUUAAAUAUAAUUUAUUAUACCCAUUACUCUUAGAAUAAAAGGGUAUAUUAGGUUCGUUGAAAAUUUGUAAGAGGUAGAAGUCCGAGUCUUGGCAUUUCAGUAUGCCCCUUUAUAGGAUUGUCAACAUCUCAGGAACUAUUAAAGCUAGAACGUUGAGAGGCAUGCAGAUUUUAGAAAUAGACGCAGAGUAUAGACCCAUGUUGGCAUGUCCAAUAUAACGCCCACAAACCGUCCAAAACUAACACGCGCUCACUUCUGAAAAUUUUGUUGAUGUUGUUUUUUAUUUUUAUUAUUUUUUAUUUUUAUUACACUUGUAAAUUUCUAUCGAUUUGCAAAAAAAAAAAUUGCCACUCUCACUCUAACACCCUAAAACCAUUCAAAACGGCCAAUCCCGCAUUUAAAAAAAAAAAUUUGGAUAUUUUCGAUAUACUGAUUGCUUUUUAAAGUUUGUAGAGCAGUAACCAUGCGACCAUUUAAAUUAUGUAUAAUAAAUUAAUUACUUACUAACAUACAAAAAAUAAAAACUAUCCUAUCAAAAGCGUUUAUUUUGCAAAAAUACUUAUGCCGACUGGUGUAUAGUCUCCAUCAGUAUCAUCAGACAAGUGAUGACCGUCUGCGCCCGUCAACGGCUCUACAUCAGUCCAUUGCAACUGCAUUUUCAGAUUGUACAGAGUUGCCAUUCUACCCCUUCCCAAUUCAGGUUCCUGAGAUCUUGACGUUCAUACGGACAGACGGACAUGGCUAGUUCGACUCGGCUAUCCUGAUCCUGAUGAAGAAUAUAUAUACUUUAUAUAGUCGGAAACGCUUCCUUCUACCUGUUAAAGACUUUUCAAUGAAUCUUUUUAUUCUACGAGUAACGGGAAUAAAAAUGGAUGCUUUGUGGUCGUUAAAGCGGAAGUUGUUAUUUUAUCAAAUCGAUAGAAACUUACAAGACUAAUAAAAAAUUUAACAAAUCAAAA